AAUCCCUGUGAAGAUUAGCAAUUCAAGUUAAUGUUAAAAGUAGUGGACUGAUAAUCUUUGCUGAAUAAUCUAUAUAUCUGAGGGAUU
rfam:Daucus carota subsp. sativus cultivar DH1 chromosome 3, whole genome shotgun sequence.